UGUAUGGGGUGAAGCGCCAGUUUCGCAAGUCGACAGGUAGACGUACUAAGAAGGGGGAAAGAAAAGGGUGAGAAAGGGGGGGGGAAUCUGCAUGGUAGUGGGGGAUAACGAUCGGAAAAAAAAAAAAAAAACCGCAUACGUCCUACGGGAGAAAGAGGGGACCUUCGGGCCUUGCGCUAUCAAUGAGCCUAGGUUCUCUUAUAAAUCCCCGGGAAGUACCAGGGAGACCCAUAUCUGCCCCU
rnacentral:rRNA from 1 species